UGAAAUCUUAGGCCCUCCCACUCACCUUCUGGACUGACCUUUGCAUUAUUGGACAUCCACAAUCUCCAUAUUUACAAUUAGCCUCUUUUAACCUUCCUCCUUUCUUUAUCUCCACCCAGCCUCUCCCUCUUCUUUCAAAUUCUUCUUUCUGAAAAUAUUUUCUCUGCAUUUUUUCUUUUUGAUCGAUAUUCUUUGUUCCUUUACGUUUAGAAAUUAGAAUUAGAAUUAGAAUUAGAAUUAAAAUUAGAAUCGUUUCUUUCUUUUUUCUUUUUCUUUUUCUCUCUUUUUUAUUUUUUUUAUUUUUAUAUAUGAUAAUCCAUAGGGUUUUAUUUUGUUCCCUUUCUUGUAUAGGGUUUUGGAUUUUUUAAAGUUUCGAUUUAGGCUAUUGUAAUAUUGUAAUUUUCCCCCCUUUUGGUAAAUUGAUAUGCCAAUUUGACUGUAAACGAGAAUAAGAGUGAUUAUCGAUUUAGGAAUUUAGGGUUUUCGAUUUGCUUACAUGGAGAAUCCGCGUAGAUCAUUUGAUAGGUCCAGAGAACCUGGUUUGAAAAAACCACGGUUAACUGAAGACCUCACUCCGAACCCUAAUAUCCGGCAUUUUUCUCAACGAACGAACCCAGUUGGUCCCGCCUCUGGUUUGAGAUUCCGGUCCAAUGAUUCCGACACCAAUGAUUUGACCCGUGGCGACGGUGGAGCUUACGAGCCACAACCAGUGUCACAUCAGCAGCAACACCACCAGCAGCAAGAGUUAGUUAGCCAGUAUAAGACGGCGUUAGCUGAGCUCACUUUUAACUCGAAACCAAUUAUUACUAACUUGACAAUAAUCGCUGGCGAGAAUGUUCAUGCCGCCAAGGCCGUUGCUGCAACUGUCUGCGCUAAUAUUCUUGAGGUUCCCAGUGACCAAAAGCUGCCAUCACUCUAUCUUUUAGAUAGUAUUGUAAAGAAUAUUGGGAGAGACUACAUUAAAUGUUUUGCUGCCAGAUUACCUGAGGUGUUCUGCAAAGCAUAUAGACAAGUUGAUGCUCCCUUGCAUCAGAGUAUGCGACAUCUUUUUGGAACCUGGAAAGGGGUAUUCCCUCUUCAGACUCUCCAAGUGAUUGAAAAGGAACUUGGCUUCACUCCUUUGGUAAAUGGUUCAUCUUCAGGAAACACAACAUCUAGAAUGGACACACUGUCACAGCGUCCACCACAAAGCAUUCAUGUAAACCCGAAGUAUCUAGAGAAGCAGCGUCUUCAACAAUCAAGCAGGGCGAAAGGUAUGGUCAAUGAUAUGGCUGGGACUUUGGCCAACUCAAAGGAGGAGUCUGAGAGGCCAGAUAGAGGACGCAGCAUAGCUGGACUGUCGUACGGAGAUCAUUCUGUUAAAAUGAAUACUCCUGGCAUAGAAGUUAGAAGAACCAGGGGGAAUGUUACUGAUCAGGGGCUUGAUGCACCUUGGUUUGGAGCUACAAGCAGCAUUACUGAGACUAUUCCCGGCCAGAGGAAUGGUUUCAACAUUAAGCCUGGAUCUCUAAAUUACUCAGCAUCCAAAUCUGUGAAUGCUGAUCCUCGUUUACAGGUAACACAUAACAUUUCUGGUAGAAACAGCAGUGGGUUGUCUAGCAGCUGGAAAAACUCUGAGGAGGAGGAGUUUAUGUGGGAGAUGCACUCUAGGUUGUCUGAACAUGAUGCAGCCAACUUCUCUAAUAACUUGAGGAGAGAUCGUUGGACUCCUGAUGUUUCAGAAAAAAUGGAUUUUGAAAGUCAGCUCCACAGACCUCAAAGCAUUCAUGAUGCGGGGUCAAGGUUUGAUAGAGAUACUUCUGCUGAUGCAUUAUCCACUGAGCAGGACAAAACUUCAUUUGGGCGUCAGAUUUCUACUGCAUGUACAGAUGGUUUGCCUGCUAUGAGUUCAAGACGUACUGAAAGCUAUUCUGCUACUGUUGGUGGGUUGCCUACUGGUGCAAGUUCUUCCUUGACCAGUAUAGGAAUGCGACCACAAACAAAUUCAUCCCGUUUGGGAGCCUCAGGUGUCGAGAUUUUGACGAAUGUGGCAUCAGGAUCCACAGGUACUUCAGGAAAGCAGCGUUUUCAGCCCAUGGGAACUGCAUCACCUCCUGAACAGUCUCCUAUGCGCCAACAUUCACCUUCACCUUCUUUUCCUGCACGCCAUCCCCAUCAACAGCUACAGAAAUUGACUGAUCCAGACUAUCAGCAAGCUGUUUCCCUGCUUCCGGCUGAUCUGAAACCAUCCAAUUUUUCAGUGAAGUUAAAUGUUGGGUCUCAUAGACGCUCUCCUCAUACUUCUGCUUCUUUGCAUCCUAGCCUUCGUUCUCACCUUUCACAGCCUCCACAACCAGACUCUGUGCAGGCUGAACCUUCUGGUCAGACUCAGAAGCCUCUUCCGUCUCAAAUCUCCAAAGUAGAAGCAGCCUCAACACUUGGAAGUGCAUUGGAGCAUUCCAAUCCUCUUGCAAUUCAAUCUUCAGAAUUAUCAAGUACGAGUAAUCUAUUAGCUGCUGUAAUGAAGUGUGGAAUCCUCUCCAGCACUUCAUUUACUGGCAGCCUUCCAACUAAGAUUUCUCAAGAUGGGGGGCAAAUUUCUCAGCCUUCAGUCCCAAAUCGGCCUCCUGCUGUUUUAACAACCUCAGGUUUGAUGCUUGAUAGUGCAAUUUCAUCUGGUUCUGCAACCCAUGAUUCAAUAGCAGCUACACCAAAUAGUUCCCGGGAAAAAGUAGAACAGCUGCCACUGCCUCCUGGACCACCACCUUCAUCUCUUGUUAGUAAUGCCCCAUCACCAACUUCUGAUGUUGAAAGCAAGGAUACAAAUCCUAUAUCCAACCUUCUGAGCUCAUUAGUUGCCAAAGGUUUGAUAUCUGCGGCAAAGAAGGGUGCUGCAUCUCUUCCAAUGCCCAUCCAAAUACAAAAGAGCCCAGGAAUUGAGAGGCCAACUGAAUCACUGAACAAGAAUUCAGACAUUCAGAGUUCAUCUGAUGCUCCUCGAUCCUCCACAAUGGAUGAGAUACCACAUGCUGAACCUGCUCCGAAAUGUUCAGUUGCCUCACAUCAGUUCACCUCAACAGAAGUAGAAAGCUUCAUAGGAUUAGAACUCAGGCCCGACGUAAUCAGAGAAUUUCAUUCAUCUGUGAUCAGUGGAUUGUUGGAUGACCUUCCACAUUGUUGCAGCCUAUGUGGUCUUCGACUUAAGCUUCAGGGAAGGCUUGAUAGACACUUAGAGUGGCAUGAAAUGAAGAAAACUGAAUCAAGAGGUUCUGGUAGGGCAUUGAGGGGAUGGUACCCAAAGUUAGAUGAUUGGCUUGCUGGAAAGCCUGGGCAAUUGGUAUUUGGUUCCACUGGUUCUCUGAACAAGUUGGAAAAGACAACAGAAAAGGCUGAGCUUAUGGUUCCUGCAGAUGAAAAUCAGUGUGCAUGCUUGUUAUGCGGCGAGCUAUUUGAAGAUUAUUUUAGCCUGAACAGGGGUGAAUGGAUGUUUAAGGGAGCAGCAUACUUGGCUAUCCCAUCAAAGGAGGGUGGGGUGGGAACUACUGAUGGCUGUGCAGCCUACAGCCCCAUUGUGCAUGUAAAUUGCAUGUCAGAAAGUUCAGUUCUGGAUUUGGGACUUUCUGGUGAUAUUAAAGUGGAAAUGGAAGAAUAACGCUGUAAUGUGAAUGAAUGGAGAUAUCAGUUGCAGUGCCAUUAGUAGAGCCCUGACCAAAGAAUCCAGAUGGGUCCAUUUGAAGGGCCACGAAAAGGGCAAGGAAGAGGUCGGAAGAGCCUCUGGACCUUGUUGAUCCGAUUGUGAAUAAUAAGGGCAUCAAAGUGGAUUCGAAUAAAGCUUAAAGAGUGUUAACAAACUGUUGGGAUCAUUGUUUAAAGAGAAAAGGUUUCAAGUUGAAGAGGAAUUUGAUCUACUCAAGGGAGUUGCUAAGAAAGAGUUGAUAUAUGGAACUCCUUCCAUCACUUUUUCAGAUCAAGUAAACGCAUGGCUAGAACUGCCAUAGUGAUAUUACUGGGUAGGAAGAUCUCAUACUCGACCAUGGUCAAUAGGCUGAAAGUUCUCUUAAAUACUAAAAAACCAAUACAAGUCAUUGAUUUGGAGAACAAUUACUUUUUUUGUGAAGUUCCAAGACGAUGAUGAUUAUCUCUAUGCAUUAUCAGGAGGGCUAUGGACCAUUUUCAGCCAAUACCUCACUGUACGUCCUUGGUUCCUGACAUUUUCAAUUGCACAAAGUCAAUCAAGUGACUUGAUAGUCUAGAUCAGACUACCUACACUACCAGAAGGAAUGUACAUAGAGUUUGUUUAAAUUUAUUGGUAGUGCAAUUGGGCUGGUUGCGAAAAUAGAUUGGAAUAUUGAUAGUAAAUCUAGGGGCCAAAUUGCGAUACUUGCAGUCUAUAUCGACUUUGGGAAACCCAUGGUUUCGAAAAUCCUUAUUGAAGGUAGGAUUCAAUGUGUGGAAUAUGAAUCCUUAUCUUUGGUGUGUUUCGGAUAUGGGCGAUUCGGGCACGUUCGUGAAUCUUGCAGUUACAAUUUCGAGCAGGAUGAAACGAUGGAGAAAUUGGAGUCAGUUAACUUGGGUAAGACAUCAAAGUCUGAAGAAAAAUCCAAUGAAGAUCUGUUUGGGCCAUGGAUGCUAGUGGAGCGAAGGAAACCACAAACUUUUAAAUCAACGACAAUAAAAUCUAGUGGAAUCAACGGUGGCACAAUGGUCAGAAGGUCCAAAUUUGAAGUUCUCAACGUAGAUCAAGGAGAACUUGAUGGGUCAACAGCAACAUCGUUGAUGGACGAUAUUGAAAAUUAGGAGUUGUUUUCAUGUGAUUUGGGGAAAUAAAAUCUAGAGAAUUCUAGAAAUUCCCCCAACAAAAGCCACAAUUAAUAAAAGAAGGUUGAGAAAAUAUAAAGGUAAAGGGAUAGCUUUAGUAUCUAGAUCUAAAAUCAAGCCUUUCGAUGGCAGAUUUAGGGUAUAGGGUAUAGGGUUUAAGGUUACGAUCGAGUCAGGAUCUGGGUUGUGCAGCAAUCUUUUCGAUGGCAGAUCUUCUAUGGGUUUAAAACUAAUGGACCAGGGACUCAAGUCCAUUAGGUUUCAAGUAGUGGGGCACGGUUUGAAUAAGAAAAAUCAUACAGUAGUGAAGGUAUUGUCUGAAAAAGGAUUUUUUUGGGGAAACUGAGUCGGGGGCAGUGAUUGUUUCUGUUUCGAGCGUGAAUAGAAGAGAAGGGUUCGGACACCAGUCAAUGGUUGGGGCCGUCGAAGCAGGUGAAAAUUUUGGGCCAAAGCCAGUAAUGCUGUCAGACGAGGAUAAUGGAUUGGUUCCAGUCGAUCGAGCGAUUGGGGAUUUGGUUGCUGACCUUAGUAGGGAGUUUGGAGAGGAUGCUACAAUCGAUGGUGAUACUACUGAGCCUUAAGGGUCUGAUGUUGAAUUAUUGGUAGACACCGUUUUGGCGUAAUCCCAGGUAAUCCCUAACCUUAGACGAUUUGGAGCCGCGAGGGACUCAGUGGUGGCCACACUUCCGCAGAUUGGUUGUUAAUAACUCAAUUUAUUUAAGCUUUCAUAUUUGGGUUUUAGUUAUGUAAUAAGGCCAUUUGGGGGUUUUUAACUUUUAAUGGGCUUUUGAUUUCUUAUAUUAAACUGCUAGUAUAGGAAAACUCAAGUUUUCAAACUAUUCAGGAUUUUCUAAAGAACAUGAGUUUUAAACAACAAAGUUUUCAAAAUAGCUUUCGCGAUUUAAGUUGAAUUAAUAUCCCAAAGGGAAAUAUUUUGAGCAAAUGUAUGUGACGAGAUGAUUUGCUAACCCCAUACAAAAGGUUUUACUUUUAGAAAUAAACUUUUAUCGACAACUUGAUUUUUGAAUGACGCUUUGAUGUAACACACCAGAUUCGACCGUAGCGUCUAGGCCGGGUUUGGGGUGUUACAGUCACUUAGUCAAUUUCUGGAACGAUGAUUGGGUGCUAGAAAUUGGUCCUCUAUGAAUAUUCUAUCUUGGACCUAGGGAGUCAGAUGACACGAUUUUAGUAUGUGACAUGGCUCUCUUGGAUGGAAUCUUGAAUAUAUAGUGGUUAUCUUCAGUUCUCCUCAGAGGAAUUUUAACACAUAUUCUUGCACAUAAAGCACCUACCAGUGGAGUUGAUUCGAACUUUGUUUCCUAGAAAUGGACAUUGGCAGGGAAGUUUUUGUGUCGUGGAGUCUUACAAAUAUCUUUUUUUUGUGGAUGAUUCAGGACAUUUUAGAAGUGACAAGCUAAUAUGGAAGAUUGCAACCCCUCAACGAGUCAAGAUCUUUUUGUGGUUGCUUAUUCAUGGUCGACUACUGACGAAAGAGGAGCAUGCUAGAUGAGGUAUGACUCAAGUUCCAUUUUGCUUGCAAAAUGGUGCCAUUUUGCUUGCAAAAUUGUGCCAUUUUGGAAUCUACAUUGCAUGUUGUUAAGGAUUGUUCGUUUGCACAAUCAGUUUGGAAAGCAGUUGUCUUUAUGAAAUAUUAGAGAUGUUUUUUCAAUUUCCCUCUUGAAAAAUGGAUCACGUGGAACUUAAAAAAUGAAGGUAAAUUUGUGUUUGGUUGUGGGCACUGGGAGGUUUUUUUGGGAUUGUUUGUUGGUUUGUUUGAAAAAGCAAAAAUGAUGCCAUAUUUAAUCGGGUGAAUAGGAACGACAGAAAUAUUAUUUCCUCAACUAUUGCAUAGACUAAAUCAUUACAAACAGGAGGGGAAAUUGAAAAAUGGGCUUGCAAAUCUAUAAUGGUGAAUAGUUGGCAAAAUUCGACCUUCGGAUGGAUCAACAUUAAUGUUGAUGGAUCGUGUUAUCAUAGAGCAUUUAAGAGCAGCAAUCAGUGGUGUGGCGAGGGGACCAACCGAUGACUGGAUGGUUGGUUUUAAGAUGGCAAUAGGUGUAACAGAUACUUCCCAAAUUGAAGCCAGAGCAGUUCUUUAAGGGUUGAGACUAGCCUAGGAUAAAGGUUUUAGACAAGUCAAAUUGGAAAGUGACGAUGUUUUGCUUAUUGAGGUUCUUUAAAUCAGACUUGUAGUAGUUAGCAAUGUUUUUGAAAUUUAGAUGAUUAACGACUUAUGUUCCAGUUAUUGGCAAGUAAAAUUCAAGAACAUUCGAAGAA